rnacentral:misc_RNA from 1 species
CAACACAUAGCAGAAAUAUGGCAUACUCUAUAAUCGAUGGCAUUGAAGUUUUGAUACUUUCAUAAUUUCACUAAACUAGUCCUCCUUUUGAAAAUUUUACAUCACGAUCCUACUUUUGAAAUCUAAUCAACAAAAUAGAGGUAAAAACAACCCAAGUUAAACAAUAUAUAAAAGUUUUUUUUUUUUUUUUAAUAUUGAAAUAGAAUUUAUUACUUCACACUUUAUGCAUUUCUGUUGUUACAACCAAAUAUGGAAUGACAAUUACAUUAUGCAUCUUAUCAAGCAUAGUUCAAGUUCAUUUGUCUAGAAAAUUCUCAUUCCAUCUGAUUUUAACGGUUGGUCUGAUGCAGGAGCACUGGAUUCCUUGAUAUGGA